UCUUGAAAGAUUUUGUCAUCACCGACAACAAUUGGAUUUCCAUAUAAAAGGUUUCUUGGUAUGACAUGAAAGGAAAAUCAUUUUCAAUAUCGAGGUAAAAUGAGGCUUAUACUGUGCACAUGUUUCUGUUUGAUUUUCAUCAACUAUUUUAUCCUGUGUAUUCCUACUCAGCGUGUAAAUCUUCUGCAAAAGCCAAAAGGUUCCACAGAAACACCAACGGUAAUUGCAGAUGGAAUGUGUUCCUUUUGCAAAACAAACGUAAACUACACGGAAAGUAAAUGUUACGUAUUCUGUGAAAAUAAAUGAUGAAAAUAUGACUUUAUGAUGUCACCAACAGAAUAGAUUCAGCACUGGCAGAUAUUACCUUGAAUUUGAAUUGAUUAGACAUUUAACUUGUAAUAAAUUUUUGUUCGCACAAUGGA